UACCAACAAAAUAUGAAGGCCUGGCUUCACGGCCGGCUGAAAUAUUUUUUCACCCAUGUCUUUUGCGCACUUGUUGUUUCCUGGGCGGGUUCGCCCGCCACCAGGACCAAACCAUAAACCUUUUUUUUAUGCAGUUACCAUCAGCGUCAGUAAAAACAAUGUAAUUAAUUACAACUUUCAACAACGGAUCUCUUGGUUCUGGCAUCGAUGAAGAACGCAACGAAAUGCGAUACGUAGUGUGAAUUGCAGAAUUCAGUGAAUCAUCGAAUCUUUGAACGCACAUUGCGCCCUUUGGUAUUCCAAAGGGCAUGCCUGUUCGAGCGUCAUUUGUACCUUCAAGCUUUGCUUGGUGUUGGGUGUUUUUGUCUCCCUCUUUCUGGGAGACUCGCCUUAAAACGAUUGGCAGCCGGCCUACUGGUUUCGGAGCGCAGCACAUAAUUUGCGCUUUGUAUCAGGAGAAAAGGACGGUAAUCCAUCAAGACUCUACAUUUUUCACUUUUGACCUCGGAUCAGGUAGGGAUACCCGCUGAACUUAAGCAUAUCAAUAAGCGGAGGAA
rnacentral:rRNA from 1 species